GUAGGGAAUAUUGGGCAAUGGAGGCAACUCUGACCCAGCCAUGCCGCGUGCAGGAUGACGGCCCUCUGGGUUGUAAACUGCUUUUAUACGGGAAGAAAAAAUACUACGUGUAGUAUACUGACGGUACCGUAAGAAUACGGAUCGGCUAACUCCGUGCCAGCAGCCGCGGUAAUACGGAGGAUCCAAGCGUUGUCCGGAUUUAUUGGGUUUAACGGGUGCGUAGGCGGAUCUUUAAGUCAGUGGUGAAAGCCUGCAGCUUAACUGUAGAAUUGCCAUUGAAGCUGAAGAUCGUGAAUGUGGUUGAAGUAGGCGGAAUGUAUCAUGUAGCGGUGAAAUGCUUAGAUAUGGUACAGAACACCGAUAGCGAAGGCAGCUUGCUGAACCAGUAUUGACGCUGAGGCGCGAAAGCGUGGGGAGCGAACAGGAUUAGAAACCCGGGUAGUCC
rnacentral:rRNA from 1 species